UACGUAGGGGGCAAGCGUUAUCCGGAUUCACUGGGUGUAAAGGGAGCGUAGACGGCGACGCAAGUCUGGAGUGAAAGCCCGGGGCCCAACCCCGGGACUGCUCUGGAAAUUGCGUCGCUGGAGUACGGGAGGGGCAGGCGGAAUUCCUGGUGUAGCGGUGAAAUGCGUAGAUAUCAGGAGGAACACCGGCGGCGAAGGCGGCCUGCUGGACCGUGACUGACGUUGAGGCUCGAGAGCGUGGGGAGCAAACAGG
rnacentral:rRNA from 1 species